CAAAGAGUCCCUGAAGAAUAACAGUGACAACAGCAAUAGUUAAUCUCUGGAAAAUGCCCUCCAGAGAAGGAGCUAUUUUGUAAAAGCAAAGGCAAGAAAGUUAUAAGUACUACUUUUGACAUACAGAAUUGCGAGAAACCUGAUCGUCUAUUUUGAUAUCUCCCCUUUGCACGUGCUCCCUGCAUCUCAGGGACUGGGUGACUUUUCUAGAUGUACGUGGAC
rnacentral:lncRNA from 1 species